UUUCCGUAGGUGAGCCCGCGGAAGGAUCAUUAUUGUAUAACCGAGGUGCGAGGGCUGUCGCUGACCCGAAAGGUCGUGCACGCCCGAGUGCCCUCACACACAUCCAUCUCACCCCUAUGUGCACCACCGCGUGGGUCCCCCUUUGGCUUGUUCGGAGGGGGGCUUACGUUUUCACACAAACUUUGUAUGCAGUGUAGAAUGUAUUUUUUGUUUUUGCGAUCACGCAAUCAAUACAACUUUCAACAACGGAUCUCUUGGCUCUC
rnacentral:misc_RNA from 1 species